CCUCAUCUAUAAAGCAUGCAGCAGGGGGCGUCAGACCAUUCCAGACUCUUCUGUGGCUGCUUGCGCAGCUGCUCCGUGCCCGGCUUAAAGGACCAGGAGAAGGGGUAGUCACUUGCCACAGCUGGAGGCUGGAGCGUGUGGCAUCACGGCUCGCCUCGCUGUGGUGGGUGCUGGCGACAGAGACGGCAGCUCGGCUGGAGUGAUUUGCUGAGAUUUGUUUUGUGGCCUAACAUCUGAUCUACCCUGAAGACACUUCCAUGUGCUGAUGAGGAGAAUGCAUACUCUUCAGCUGUCGAGUGGGAUGUUCUGUGAAUAUCUGGUAAGAAGACUGGGGCUUAGAAACAUUGAAAAAAACUUGCUCAACGUUGCAAAACAAGAAAUUUGUGACACUGGAAUUGACAUCUACAAGGGACUGAUGUAACUAAUUGCUGGAUACAUGUCCCUCAAAGACACAGAAACACAUCUUGUAUUCUAGUGGAUCUCUGGCAUCCAGUGAGGGCCUGAAACAGAGUACAUGUCCAACAAAUAAUUAUUGAAGUAAAGAUUGACAUUUCAGGAGCAGAGAUUAAUAUUCAAAAACAAAGAUGAGAAUUUUGGCAGAAAAGUCAAAAUGAGGUAAAAGUACAUUUCCACCUUAACCUUUUUUUCAUUUGCUUAGCUGACAUAAGGAAGAGUUUAUAAUUUGUUUGUUUUUUUGAAAUUUUAUUAUUAUUAUACUUUAAGUUUUAGGGUACAUGUGCACAAUGUGCAGGUUUGUUACAUAUGUAUACAUGUGCCAUGCUGGUGUGCUGCACCCAUUAACUCCUCAUUUAGCAUUAGGUAUAUCUCCUAAUGCUAUCCC